UACGGAGGGAGCUAGCGUUAUUCGGAUUUAUUGGGCGUAAAGAGCGUGUAGGCGGCCAGGUAGGUCUGGUGUGAAAACUCGAGGCUUAACCUCGAGAUGUCAUCGGAAACCAUCUGGCUAGAGUCCGGAAGAGGAGAGUGGAAUUCCUGGUGUAGCGGUGAAAUGCGCAGAUAUCAGGAAGAACACCAAUGGCGAAAGCAGCUCUCUGGGACGGUACUGACGCUGAGACGCGAAAGCGUGGGGAGCGAACAGG
rnacentral:rRNA from 1 species